rnacentral:rRNA from 1 species
UAAGGUAGUGCUAUACAUGCAAGUCGAGCGAUGGAUUAAGAGCUUGCUCUUAUGAAGUUAGCGGCGGCACGGGUGAGUAACACGUGGGUAACCUGCCCAUAAGACUGGGAUAACUCCGGGAAACCGGGGCUAAUACCGGAUAACAUUUUGAACCGCAUGGUUCGAAAUUGAAAGGCGGCUUCGGCUGUCACUUAUGGAUGGACCCGCGUCGCAUUAGCUAGUUGGUGAGGUAACGGCUCACCAAGGCAACGAUGCGUAGCCGACCUGAGAGGGUGAUCGGCCACACUGGGACUGAGACACGGCCCAGACUCCUACGGGAGGCAGCAGUAGGGAAUCUUCCGCAAUGGACGAAAGUCUGACGGAGCAACGCCGCGUGAGUGAUGAAGGCUUUCGGGUCGUAAAACUCUGUUGUUAGGGAGAAACAAGUGUUAUAUUAAGAGGCUGGCACCUCGAGGAGAGACAAACCACAACGCCCGGGCGAAAUACGUGCCCACCACCGCGGGAAUACUUAGGCGAGUA